ACUCAAAGGAAUUGACGGGGGCCCGCACAAGCGGUGGAGCAUGUGGCUUAAUUCGAUGCAACGCGAAGAACCUUACCAGGGCUUGACAUGGAUCUGCAAGCACCCGAAAUGGUGUCGCCUUCGAGGGUGAUCCACAGGUGGUGCAUGGCUGUCGUCAGCUCGUGUUGUGAAAUGUUGGGUUAAGUCCCGCAACGAGCGCAACCCUCAUGUUUUGUUACCAGCACGUCAAGGUGGGAACUCGAGACAAACUGCCUCUGUAAAGAGGAGGAAGGUGGGGAUGACGUCAAGUCAUCAUGCCCCUUACGCCCUGGGCUGCACACAUGCUACAAUGGCCGGUACAAAGAGUUGCUAAACCGCGAGGUGGAGCUAAUCUCAAAAAGCCGGUCUCAGUUCGGAUUGGAGGCUGCAACUCGCCUCCAUGAAGUCGGAAUCGCUAGUAACCGCCGGUCAGCAAUACGGCGGUGAAUACGUUCCCGGGCCUUGCACACACCGCCCGU
rnacentral:rRNA from 1 species